rnacentral:scRNA from 1 species
CUGCCCGCCUGGGGCUUGAUCUCCAGCAGGCC